AUGAACGCUAGCUACAGGCUAACACAUGCAAGUCGAGGGGCAGCAUGGGUGUAGCAAUACACCCGAUGGCGACCGGCGCACGGGUGCGUAACACGUAUCCAAUCUACCCAUGGCUCAGGGGAUAGCCUUUCGAAAGAAAGAUUAAUACCUGAUGGCUUCAGUAUUCCGCAUGGGAUGUUGAAUAAAGAUUCAUCGGCGAUGGAUGAGGAUGCGUCCGAUUAGCUUGUGGCGGGGUAACGGCCCACCAAGGCGACGAUCGGUAGGGGUUCUGAGAGGAAGGUCCCCCACACUGGAACUGGGACACGGUCCAGACUCCUACGGGAGGCAGCAGUGAGGAAUAUUGGUCAAUGGGCGCGAGCCUGAACCAGCCAAGUAGCGUGAAGGAUGAACCUGCCCUAUGGGUUGUAAACUUCUUUUGCGAGGGAAUAACGUGGGCCACGUGUGGCCCUAUUCCGCAUGUACCUUGCGAAUAAGCAUCGGCUAAUUCCGUGCCAGCAGCUGC
rnacentral:rRNA from 1 species